rnacentral:rRNA from 1 species
GACGAACGCUGGCGGCGUGCUUAACACAUGCAAGUCGAACGAAGUGGCGAACGGGUGAGUAACGCGUAAUCAACCUGCCCUUCAGAGGGGGACAACAGUUGGGAACGACUGCUACUACCGCAUACUGAAGGUGGGGAUUGCGUCUGAUUAGCGAGUUGGAGGGGGAACGGCCCACCAAGGCGAUGAACAGUAGGCGGUCUUGGUGGAUGGACGGCCACAUUGGGAAUGAGACACGGCCCAGACUCCUACGGGAGGCAGCAGGGGGGAAUCAUCCGCAAUGGGCGAAAGUCUGACGGAGCAACGCCGCGUGGGUUAUGAAGGCCUUCGGGUUUUAAAGCUCUGUUAAUCGGGACGCGGUACCGGAAUAGAAAGCCACGGCUAACUACGUGCCAGCAGCCGCGGUAAUAC